rnacentral:ncRNA from 1 species
UAUAAAACUUUGAUUGGAACAGUAUGUAUAUUUAGAAAAUCAAGCGAGCUAGGAUUUGGUGUGAGCCUAGUAUGAGUAUAAUAUACAAAAAAUCAUCCAGGAGUUGUUGGAGGAAUGAGGCUAGCGUGUACACGUGCUAGUGAUGAGUAAUACCAACCGCAAUCAUGCGUUAAAAGUGAAAAAGAGUGCAGUCGAAGAUUUAAAGUUUAUAGCAUGAAGUGUAAACUGUGAAUUAUAGAUUGAAUUUGGGUGGUACCACGGGUGAAAGCUCGUCCCAUAU